rfam:Ovis aries breed Texel chromosome 3, whole genome shotgun sequence.
UCCCUGGUGGUCCAGGGCUUAAGACUCUGCAUUUCCAAUGUGGAGGGCCUGGGUUCAAUCCCUGGUCAGAGAA